UACGUAGGGUGCGAGCGUUGCCCGGAUUUAUUGGGCGUAAAGGGCGCGUAGGCGGCUCUGCACGUCCGUUGUGAAAUCGCCCGGCUCAACUGGGCGGGGUCAGCGGAUACGGCGGAGCUUGAGCAAGCUAGGGGGCAAUGGAAUUCCCGGUGUAGUGGUGGAAUGCGUAGAUAUCGGGAGGAACACCAGUGGCGAAGGCGAGUCCCUGGACACUUCCUGACACUGAGGCACGAAAGCUAGGGGAGCAAACAGG
rnacentral:rRNA from 1 species